rnacentral:rRNA from 1 species
AUUGAACGCUGGCGGCAUGCCUUACACAUGCAAGUCGAACGGUAACGGGCCUUCGGGUGCCGACGAGUGGCGAACGGGUGAGUAAUACAUCGGAACGUGCCCGAUCGUGGGGGAUAACGAGGCGAAAGCUUUGCUAAUACCGCAUACGAUCUACGGAUGAAAGCAGGGGACCGCAAGGCCUUGCGCGGACGGAGCGGCCGAUGGCAGAUUAGGUAGUUGGUGGGAUAAAAGCUUACCAAGCCGACGAUCUGUAGCUGGUCUGAGAGGAUGAUCAGCCACACGGGGACUGGGACACGGCCAAGACUCCUACGGGAGGCAGCAGUGGGGAAUUUUGGACAAUGGGCGCAAGCCUGAUCCAGCCAUGCCGCGUGCAGGAUGAAGGCCUUCGGGUUGUAAACUGCGUUUGUACGGAACGAAAAGCCUUCUUUUAAUACAGGAGGGUCAUGACGGUACCGGAAGAAUAAGCACCGGCUAACUACGUG